GACGUCAAAUCAUCAUGCCCCUUAUGACCUGGGCUACACACGUGCUACAAUGGGAAGUACAACGAGUCGCGAAGUCGCGAGGCUAAGCUAAUCUCUUAAAGCUUCUCUCAGUUCGGAUUGUAGGCUGCAACUCGCCUACAUGAAGCCGGAAUCGCUAGUAAUCGCGGAUCAGCAUGUCGCGGUGAAUACGUUCCCGGGUCUUGUACACACCGCCCGUCACACCAUGGGAGCGGGUUCCGCCAGAAGUAGGUAGCCUAACCGCAAGGGGGGCGCUUACCACGGCGGGGUUCGUGACUGGGGUGAAGUCGUAACAAGGUAGCCGUAGGGGAACCUGCGGCUGGAUCACCUCCUUUCUAGA
rnacentral:rRNA from 1 species